AAGGUCUUAGCUUAAUUAAAGUAUUUGAGUUGCAUUCAGUUGAUAUAGGAUAGAGUCUUAUAGGCCUUA
rnacentral:tRNA from 1 species